GACAGAGGGUGCAAACGUUGUUCGGAAUUACUGGGCAUAAAGCGCACGUAGGUGGUCCGCUAAGUCGCGUGUGAAAUCCCCCGGCUCAACCGGGGAAAUGCGCGUGAUACUGGCGGGCUUGAGAUCGGGAGGGGUGAAUGGAACUCCAGGUGGAGCGGUGAAAUGCGCAGAUAUCAGGAGGAACACCAAUUGCGAAGGCAGCUCGCUGGGACGUGACUGACGCUGGAGACGCGAAAGCGUGGGGGAGCAAACAGG
rnacentral:rRNA from 1 species